CCAGGGACUUAACAUGGAAUUGAAGGUGAAAAAUUUGGCAUCGUCAGAUUCCAGGGGCUAUGACCUACAGAAGGAGGUCUUGGUGAAGGUGACCCACCACGGGUCUCACGAGGUGAGGCCCCACAGGGAUGGGACUCAGGAGGUGAGGAUCCACGGGGAAGGGACUCAGGAGGUGAGGAUCCACGGGGAAGGGACUCAGGAGGUGAGGAUCCACGGGGACGGGACCCAGGAGGUGAGGAUCCAUG
rnacentral:lncRNA from 1 species